AGGAAACACGGAGGGCUAAUGCCUGAUAACGGAGAACAUUCCAGGGGGCAUCUUCAAGUCUCUUCUUCUCUCAUAGCAAUAAUAGCCCCUUUGGUCAGAAGAUAAUACCACAGACACCGCAGGAUAGGGCAGAAGAACCCAAGCCAUCUCUUGGAUGGGGGAGUGGCCAAUUUCACAGGCUACUGCAGGUGAGAAAACUCCUGCUGGCUCUUUAUAUGAUGAACGUUUCACGGUCUAAAUGGAGUUCUGUGCUAUUUGGGUUUGAUCAGUUGUCUUACUGGUGCUCACACAUGUUUAGUUUAAAGUUCUUAUCUAGGCUGUGUACCGUAAGUUGCCAUUAAAUAGUCCAUUUUGCUCUAAUAGAAUUGGUUGCAGAUAAUUGGCCUCAAGUUGGCCCCUGUACACCACCUGAGCACGACAUUCCCACCCGUUCAGGCAGCGAUUAUUUCUCAUCGCAUCCAUCUGCUCCAUUUCAUGCUUGUUCUGGGGUGCGGUGGCCCAGGACUGAGGUGGGCACGUAGCUUAGACUUGCCCAUCUUCUCUUGGCUUCUGCCAGCUUCCUACCUGUUUUCAACCUCUUCUCCCUCUUAUACUCUUUGUUCAGUUUGUGCUCUGGACUUUUGCCGUCUCCAACUUCCUUAGCUGGGCUCUGCCCUUCAUAUGUCCGCUUGUAGAUAAGGUUCAUCUGAUAAUAGCGAACUCUAAUCAAAUGGACCCAGGAGCUCCCUUUUAGGGAUGGAAUGUAUCUGAAGGGUGGGGAAAGGCUGUCGGGGAUGGGAAACCUGGGACAUGAAUUUAGACAUUUGAAAUGGCUACCCCAAGAUCACAAGACUGCUUCGUGACAGACCUGGGAACUUUAUUUUUAUCUCCCAGCUGCUGGAUGUAGUCCAUCCCCAGGUAAACCGAGGGGCUCUCUGCCAAGUCAGUGAACUCAAAGCUUCCCAGGAUGGAGCCCCUAUUUUAACAUAGAUGAUUAGAGCAUCACCAGGUCUUCAAAGUCAAUGAAGCACAGUUCACUAUCCUGUAAUAUCCAGAACCAACCUUAUAAAUAAAAUAACAUUCAACUUCUAUGUAAUAUGGACCACAAAUGACAAAAGACCACAUGAUGAUAUUAAAAGGCACCAAAUAUCUUCAUAGCGGUGACUAUACAGAAAGGACCCCCACUCUGACUCCUCUCCAGCUUCCUUUCUGUGCCUUUAAAGCUCACUGAGGAGUUCCCGCCAUGGCACAGCGGGUUGAGAAUCUGACUGUAGCGGCUCUGGUCACUUCAGAGGUAAAAGUUCCAUCCACAGCCCAGCACAGGGGGAUUAAAGAUCUGGCUCUGGUGCAGCUGCCUGUGGCAUAGGUCACAGCUGUGGCUUGGAUUCAGUCCCUGACAGAGGAACUUCCAUAUGCUGCAUGGGUGGCCAUAAAAUUUUAAAAAUAAAACAGGAGUUACUGUUGUGGGCUCAAGUGGCUAAGAACCCCACAUAGUGUCCGUGAAGAUGCAGGUUCAAUUCCUGGCCUCAGCCAGUGACUGAGUGGGUUAAGGAUCCAGCAUUGCCACAAACAGCGGUGUAGUUUGCAGAUCUGGCUCAGAUCCCUCGUUGCCGUGGCUGUGGUGUAGGCCUGAAGCUGCAGCUCCCAUUCAACCCUUUGCCCAGGAACUUCCAUAUGCUGCACGUGCGGCCCUAAAAAGAAAACAAGAAAAAAUGAAAUAAUAAAAUAAAAUAAAAGUCCACUGAAUUGAAUGCUUAGCUCUACUUGGGUCAAUUAUUUGCUCAGCAAGUAUUUUAUUCAUUCAGUAACCAGUUUGCUAUAAAAUUUUGACCAGGACCAGUUUUAAGCAGCCAGGUGAUUUGACCUGAGUGUAUUUGAGGAUAUGAACCAAGAUUGUAUUCACGGCAAAGACCAAAGAAUUGGGGAAUACAAUUAAAAUUAACCUAAUACCCUGGCAAGACCACUGUGCCCCUGCCUAAACCUUACAUAGCAUGGCAGCAUGGCCUUGGCUGGACUUCAUUGGGGACCCUUUUACUCUGCUGUAUCUGUCAGCCCCUUCGAGGACUAAACAGAGGUAGUCUCUUGUCCCCUUCUUGCCCUCUGUACCUCUCUUCUUAAUAUGCUUUCGUUGGAAGAGAAUCUAAAUGAUGGCUGCCCAUGGGAACUCUCUCUCCAGAUUUAUGUACUUAUUGACAGAGCAGGUCAACUGGAAACUUAAUAUAUAUUUAAAUGGGAAUAUUAAGAAUAGAGAUUUUUUUAUUUCUGUGUAUCACAGGAAUUGUAUUCCAGCUAAGCUCAUUUAUUUCGAGAUUGCUUCUAAAGCACAUUUUUUAAGAAGUGAGUAUUAGGUAAAAUUGAAUCAGCAUAAUAACUUAAUAUUUCUGCUCAUGUGCCACUUAAUUUUAAUCUACUACACACCCAUUGUAAUUUGUAAUGGCAUUGUAUGAUGUGGUUGGGAUUGCCCGGAUCUAUUUUUAUUUGUCCCCAAGAGACUACCUGACAAAUGCUGGGUAUAAAUUGCUGGAGAGCAAACAGACGUCCUUUCUCACCAAAGGAUGUUUUGUAAUUUAAAUUCAUUAUCAAGGAAUGUACGAUCACCUUAAAAAUAUGUAAAAAUAAUCUUCCUGUUUAGGAGCAGCUGAAUUUUCAUUAUGAAAAUAGGUCAGACCUCGGCCAUCUGAUUCUUUCUUUACCAUGAGAUGGAGCUGAACAUUAGCAGUUCUCCCAACGUGCACCCUUGUAUUUAUUAGGUCCUAAUAUUGAUGCUAUUUUUGUCAUAAUAACUUUAAAACCAGCCAAUCAGAAGCUCUGUUUUCUUCUUUCCACUUCAGGGGACGAGCCCGUCAGCCCCUGCCUCUUCUCACCCCCUUUCUUUGUGUGAACACGGGUGCCUCAUAGACCAUUUUAUACUCUGAUCUUAAAAGAGUUGAUUUUCUGGGUGACCAGAGUUCCGCUUAGGACGUAGCCCUGAGAUUCUAUAAUUCCACAGUGGGAAGAGACCUCGGAAAUCCAUCCACUCCUAGGUUUAUCAGCUGAGAAAGCCGAAACGAAAGAUAGCCAGUGAGCUUCUCACAUGCAGAGACAUAGUCGCCCGGAAUUUUUAGGGUAAAUUCUUUCUCUAAGCUUCUUCCUUUUGGCCAUUGCCCUCUCGUAAGUAGAUACAGCCCAGACCUCUUCCCCUGAGGGUGGCCGACCCUUGGGGAGGCCUCUAGGACCCUAGAGGGCUGUGACCAGUGGCCCCAGAGUGAGUCUCAGCAACAGCUGGGCUUGGGGCGGACCUUCUCCAAGAUGCCACAGAGCCAGCUCAUUGCUUGGUCUCCCACUGGGAACACUUCCCAUGCCCGGUGCAAUGCCGACGCAUCACGAAUCCCAGUGGCGCUUCCGAUAGGAAGCUCGCGGGACCUUGGGAGCCCCUUGCUGAGUGAGCCCCUGCAGACAAGGACAGACUCUCAAUCACCCUUUGAAAAUCAAGUCUCUUGGAAAGGACUCUUUCAAAACUCCUCUCCACGGAACAGGAGAGAGAGAGAGGGAGAGGUGGAGGGAGGGAGGGAGGUAAGUGAUGCACCACAGCUCUCCGCGGCUUUCUUUUUCCAGAGCAGCAGCGGAGCCCCCCACCCCCACCCCAUCCUCACAGUGCCGAGGGAAGCCGCAGGUCACAGACAAGUAAGCCAUUCGCAAGGAGUGUACUUGCAGAUGUGGUAAGUUUGCUGAAGGAAAUAGACCAAGAAAGAAUGACCGAGAAAGUCCUGAUUACGUGGGUCUUGGCUCUGAGGAGAGGGUGUCCAAGCUGAUCGGAUCCGGAAGGUGAAGUCAGUAAAGUCGAGGGAAAAAUCUUUAGUUCAGGAACAAGAAAUGCAAAUGUUGAAUAUCAUCUUGCAGCCAGUCCUAUCCCAGGGGAUGGAAACAAUGGGAACACAUUUCUAAGAGCCAAACUCACUCCAAACCUGACCUUUGAAGGUGGGGAAUGGUCAGUCCUGGAUACAUUCAGUGAUAUUUCCAGGAUGGCUAUCAGCUGAAAUGCUUGGUUGCCAACAGCAAAAAAAAAAAAAAAAAAAA
ensembl:lncRNA